rnacentral:rRNA from 1 species
AGAGUUUGAUCCUGGCUCAGAUUGAACGCUGGCGGCAUGCUUUACACAUGCAAGUCGAGCGGCGGCGCGGGGGCAACCCUGGCGGCGAGCGGCGAACGGGUGAGUAAUGCAUCGGAACGUGUCCCGGAGUGGGGGAUAACCCGGCGAAAGCCGGGCUAAUACCGCAUAUGCUCUGAGGAGGAAAGCGGGGGACUCGCAAGGGCCUCGCGCUCGGGGAGCGGCCGAUGUCCGAUUAGCUAGUUGGUGAGGUAAUGGCUCACCAAGGCGACGAUCGGUAGCUGGUCUGAGAGGAUGAUCAGCCACACUGGGACUGAGACACGGCCCAGACUCCUACGGGAGGCAGCAGUGGGGAAUUUUGGACAAUGGGGGCAACCCUGAUCCAGCCAUGCCGCGUGCGGGAAGAAGGCCUUCGGGUUGUAAACCGCUUUUGGCCGGGAAGAAAAGGCGCAGGUUAAUACCUUGCGUUUUUGACGGUACCGGCAGAAUCAGCACCGGCUAACUACGUGCCAGCAGCCGCGGUAAUAC